rnacentral:lncRNA from 1 species
UGCCGGGGCAGAAAAUGAAUAUACACAACAAUAUACAUCAUUUAAACGAAACACAAUGACUGUUGUUGCAAAAAUACAGGUUCCUGAGCUAUUUUAAAAAUCGAAGCGAGAGGCUCUUAACAUUGCAGUAUAAAAUACAGGCUAAAAUGGCUGAAACGUCAAAUUUGCAAACUUCGUGUUGAAAAUUGGCUUACAAGGUCAUUACAAAAACAG